UACGUAGGGUGCGAGCGUUAAUCGGAAUUACUGGGCGUAAAGCGUGCGCAGGCGGUUCUGAAAGUCAGCUGUGAAAGCCCCGGGCUUAACCUGGGAACUGCGGUUGAAACUACAGGACUAGAAUCUGGCAGAGGGGGGGUGGAAUUCCACGUGUAGCAGUGAAAUGCGUAGAGAUGUGGAGGAACACCGAUGGCGAAGGCAGCCCCCUGGGCUGAGAUUGACGCUCAGGCACGAAAGCGUGGGGAGCAAACAGG
rnacentral:rRNA from 1 species